CGCCCGAUGAUACCCAAACGAGUUGAGACUUAAGGAAAAUAACAUAAAAUUAUAUAAACAGCUAAGUUUAUUUGCUGGCUAAUUAAUAACUAACAGUCAUGCAACGAUGUAAACAGGACGUAGAAGAAGGUAUUUCUGGUGGUCGCAGGCGGCUAUAGACAACGCUCACUUGCAUUAGAUGACAAAGGACAAAGUGCACCGCGCGAUGCACGCAAUUGACAACAGAUUACAUGGUGUAGGUUUAAAUUUAAUGAAAGAUUGAAAAGGUUUUCUUAGGUCCCCUAAGAAGUUUUAUUUUUAUUGCUUUUAGCAGUGUAUAGUGCCACACCAAGCCACGCCGCUACUUCAGUCAGACAGGAAUACACGUUCCGCUGUAAGCUGACUGGUGCUGAGGCGACCUGCCGCUCGCCGCUUAUAAAAUACAUAUAUUAUGCAGGUGUGAUCUAUACAUACGCAACAUUAUAAAUUGUAAAAUGCGAGGACGUGAGCUAUAUCUGCGCCAUAAGUUUUAAAAUUAUUCAUGUGUUUUUUCUUUCAAUUUUUUAACAAAAUUACAUUUAUUUUAAUGCAAAUUAAAAUUGACCAUUAUUUAUUAUUUCAGCAGUUUUUGUACAUGUUUGCUUUUUGGCGGCAACUGACCUCUAACCGACCAGCUAUCGAAGUUAAGCCUGUUACAUACACUCAAUUUUAACAAUUUUAACUGAAAAAUCGAGACGAGCGUAUUUAGUUAGUUUUUUUUAGUAGUUUCUUUUCUUAGAGACAGUAGUCUUUAGUCUAAACUAUCGAAAUAUACAGACGAAGGUCAGAGCCGAGGCUUACAAAAAAAAGGUACACAGCAAUAGUGUGAAUAGAAUUGCUUCUGUCUGUGUGGGUGGUGCGGGGGUUUCCAAUAGGCCGGAGUGCUAACAUCAGCACUCCGUCCUAUUGGAAAGCUGCGGGCGCGCGUGGCGUGACGGCGGCGUGACGGCGGCGAGACGGCAGCGCGAAUGCGAGUGCGGCGGCCGAGCACGCGUGACGCCGCCGCGUCGUGACGGCUGUGCGAGGCACGCGCAUCAUUAACGACUUUACAUUCUUUUAAAGUUAUAAAGUAUUCUAAAGUAAAUAUGAUUUCAUGAACCGUAAAUUUACGAGUUAUUUAUGAAAGUAAUAUUGAAGUCAAUAUAACUUUAAAACAUAACAAUAUGUUGUAGCACAAUCAGGAAAUUGCUAAAUGACACAAUGAUAUUGAGAACCUUCUUGUUGAAGUUGGUUGAAAAGAUUGGACCACAUCUUAAGAUGUACAAAAUUACCAGAACUAUGGAAAAGCAGUUACAGCAAGGAUGAAAACCAGCGCAAACCCUCUGCCCUUUAAUCAAGAACUUUUUUUAAUUGAUAUCUUUUUGUGAUUUUUUUUGUUGUUUUUUUUGUUAUUACUGCCAUGCCACGAUUGAAUCCUAGCUUUGUAACUAUCACUGUAAAGUUAUGUUUAAAGAGAAUGGAAAAUA